rnacentral:rRNA from 1 species
UACGUAGGGUGCGAGCGUUAAUCGGAAUUACUGGGCGUAAAGCGUGCGCAGGCGGCUCGUCAAGUCUGAUGUGAAAGCCCCGGGCUCAACCUGGGAAUGGCAUGGGAAACUGGCGAGCUGGAGUGCGGCAGAGGGGGGUGGAAUUCCGCGUGUAGCAGUGAAAUGCGUAGAGAUGCGGAGGAACACCGAUGGCGAAGGCAGCCCCCUGGGCCGACACUGACGCUCAGGCACGAAAGCGUGGGGAGCAAACAGG